rnacentral:rRNA from 1 species
GUGGGGAAUAUUGCACAAUGGAGGGAACUCUGAUGCAGCGACGCCGCGUGAGCGAUGAAGGUUUUCGGAUCGUAAAGCUCUGUCCUAAGGGACGAUAAUGACGGUACCUUAGGAGGAAGCCCCGGCUAACUACGUGCCAGCAGCCGCGGUAAUACGUAGGGGGCGAGCGUUGUCCGGAUUUAUUGGGCGUAAAGGGUGCGUAGGCGGCCUUGUAAGUCAGAUGUGAAAUCUCACGGCUUAACCGUGGUAAGCAUUUGAAACUGUGAGGCUUGAGUACAGGAGAGGAGAGUGGAAUUCCUAGUGUAGCGGUGAAAUGCGUAGAUAUUAGGAGGAAUACCAGUGGCGAAGGCGACUCUCUGGACUGUAACUGACGCUGAGGCACGAAAGCGUGGGGAGCAAACAGG